rnacentral:rRNA from 1 species
GAGUAAAGAUUUCGGUCGCUUUGGGAGGAGCUCGCUUACUAUCAGCUUGUUGGUAGGGUAAUGGCCUACCAAGGCUAUGACGGUUAGGGGGUGUGAGAGCAUGACCCCCAGCAUUGGCACUGAAACACUGGCCAAACACCUACGGGUGGCUGCAGUCGAGAAUCUUCCACAAUGGGGGAAACCCUGAUGGAGCGAUGCUGCGUUUGCGGGAUGAAGGCCUUCGGGUUGUAAACCGCUUUUGUAGGGGACGAAAUUUUUGACGGUACCCUUUCGAAUAAGAGGUUGCUAACUCUGUGCCAGCAGCAGCGGUAAUACAGAGACCUCAAGCGUUAUCCGGAUUUACUGGGCGUAAAGCGUCUGUAGGGGGUUUAUUAAGUUCCAAGUAAAAUUUCAAGGCUCAACUUUGAAUUCGCUUGGAAAACUAAUAAACUGGAGUCUAGCAGAGGUGCAUGGAACUUGUGGUGUAGGAGUGAAAUCCGUUGAUAUCACAAGGAACACCAAAGGCGAAGGCAUUGCACUGGGCUAGCACUGACCCUGAGAGACGAAAGCGUGGGGAGCAAAACGGAUUAGAUACCCGUGUAGUCCACGCCCUAAACGAUGAAUGCUAAAUGUUCGGGGAUUCGACCCCCUGGGUGUUACAGCUAACGCGUUAAGCAUUCCGCCUGGGAAGUACGGCCGCAAGGCUAAAACUCAAAGGAAUAGACGGGGAUCCGCACAAGCGGUGGAGCGUCUGGUUUAAUUCGACAGUAAGCGUGGUACCUCACCAGGGUUUGACAUCCCUUGACAGCCUUGGAAACAAGGUUUCCUUCGGGCAAGGUGACAGGUGCCGCAUGGUCGUCGUCAGUUCGUGCCGUGAGGUGUUCCGUUAAGUCGGGAAACGAACGAAACCCCUAUUGCAUGUUACAAUUUCUCAUGCAAGACUGCCCGGAUAUACUGGGAGGAAGGUGGGGAUGACGUCAGAUCUGCAUGGUCCUUAUACCCUGGGCGACACAGGCGCUACAAUGGCAGAGACAAAGGGUUGCAAAACCGCAAGGUGAAGCUAAUCCCAAAAACUUUGUCUAAGUUCGGAUUGAAGGCUGCAAUUCGCCUUCAUGAAGCUGGAAUCGCUAGUAAUCGUGAAUCAGCCACGUCACGGUGAAUAUGUUCCCGGAUCUUGUACUCAC